rnacentral:rRNA from 1 species
CAAUAGCGUAUAUUAAAGUUGUUGCAGUUAAAAAGCUCGUAGUUGGAUUUCUGAUCGAGACAUCAGGUCGGGUCCGAGAGGAUCAUGUACUUUGAUUUUGUUUUGAUCAUCCUUGGGGAGAGCAUUUCUGGCAUUCAGUUGUCGGGAUUGGGAUCCUCAUCGUUUACUGUGAAAAAAUUAGAGUGUUCAAAGCAGGCCUCGGCCUCUGAAUACAUUAGCAUGGAAUAAUAAGAUAGGACUUUGGUGGUCUAUUUUGUUGGUUUGCACGCCAAAGUAAUGAUUAAUAGGGAUAGUUGGGGGUAUUCGUAUUCAAUUGUCAGAGGUGAGAUUCUUGGAUUUAUGGAAGACGAACUACUGCGAAAGCAUUUACCAAGGAUGUUUUCAUUAA